rnacentral:rRNA from 1 species
UUACCUACGGGGGGCAGCAGUGAGGAAUAUUGGUCAAUGGGCGAGAGCCUGAACCAGCCAAGUCGCGUGAGGGAGUACUGCCCUAUGGGUUGUAAACCUCUUUUGUCGGGGAGCAAAAGCCGGACGUGUCCGGCUGUGAGAGUACCCGAAGAAAAAGCAUCGGCUAACUCCGUGCCAGCAGCCGCGGUAAUACGGAGGAUGCGAGCGUUAUCCGGAUUUAUUGGGCGUAAAGGGUGCGUAGGCGGACUGCUAAGUCUGGAGUGAAAGGUACCGGCUCAACC